UUAUAAUCUAAAAGAUAUAAUCCAAAACUUGCAAUUCCUGGGUAAAGAUGUAAGAGUGAAUGCUGUCUUCACACUGAAUUAAUGCCAUUGGGGAGAGACAGACAGUAUCUUUCUUGACCCAGAGUCACAAAGGUGACAUCUGUGUCAGAUUUGCAAGCUUCUUAUAGUUCGUUUCUCUGAAGGCAACAGGAGUGGGCGUAAUACAACCAUACUGAUCAGAGAUAAAGAUUGAGGGAAACUACACUUGCAUGUCUAUCCCGUGCAGCUGUAAACCAGAUUAUGAACCAGGUUCAAAGUAUCAGCAGAAUAAUAGCUUCUAAAUAUAGGAAGAGCAAAAGGAGUGGGGGGAAUAAGACCAUGAAAUACAAAGCACUUUGUACUUAAUAUUUUUUUUUUGUAACAGCAAUGGAAGAUUAGAGAACUUUGAUGUUUCAAAAGCUCCUUCCCACACGUAAAAGCAAACAGUCCAAUCUUUCAGGGGCGUUCAUGAGACCUGAUCUCCCUUAUAGGAAAUAUUUAGGCAAUCCUAGUAUCAAUAGCACACCACUUAAUGGUCAAUCUAAAUAAAACUGUUUAUAAUCUAGAAGAGAAGGUCACACAAUCAAUGCAUCCAAUCUAAUAAAAGGGAAAAUAAGAGGGAAAAAUUAUGACACAAAAAGAACAUUUUCCUUAUUUCCUACAUUUUUAUUCAUAGGUUAUAGUUUACUGUGCUUUCUUCUGCAGCAUGUAAAUAGUCAUCCAGUCACAUUCAUCCGAAUCACUCAAACGCAGGUGUUAAUGGCAUAUUCCCAUUUAGCUUAUACUUUCUACAUAAACACAACCACUUUUUAUUUUAUGUUUUUUUUUCUUGGCAAAAAUAAUAGAAACAAGCAGGGGUGGGUGGGCAGAUCCUUUCAGAAACCUAUUCUAUCUGUCAGUAGGAGCUUGAGGAUCUGCUGGCUGUAUUAUAAGCAAUUUCAUCGCUUUGGACACUGUUAGCCCCUUCUUCUCACUGGACCGGAGUCAUCCUCCACCAUCCCCCUCCUCCUCCUCCUCUUUCUCCCGCCAGCCCCUUCUGGCUCCCUCGCUCUCCCCCUCCCCGCCUCCCUUUCCAUUUCACCCCAUGUCACCCACUAGCUGACUUCUCCUCCAGAAGAGAAACAUGAGGUGGGUGGAGGGCUUUUCGGAGCAAGAGUGGGUGGAGAUUGCCAGGCAUCAACCCAACCCAGGUCUCCUCAAGUCUUGGAGGCACAAGGCAAACAGCUUCCCC
rnacentral:lncRNA from 1 species